UGGGGAAUCUUGCGCAAUGGGCGAAAGCCUGACGCAGCAACGCCGCGUGGGGGAUGAAUGCCUUCGGGUUGUAAACCCCUUUCAGUGGGAACGAAAUUGACGGUACCCACAGAAGAAGCCCCGGCCAACUACGUGCCAGCAGCCGCGGUGAUACGUAGGGGGCGAGCGUUGUCCGGAUUCAUUGGGCGUAAAGAGCUCGUAGGCGGCUUGGUAAGUCGGGUGUGAAACCUCCAGGCUCAACCUGGAGACGCCACUCGAGACUGCCCUGGCUGGAGUCCGGUAGGGGACCACGGAAUUCCUGGUGUAGCGGUGAAAUGCGCAGAUAUCAGGAGGAACACCAGUGGCGAAGGCGGUGGUCUGGGCCGGUACUGACGCUGAGGAGCGAAAGCGUGGGGAGCGAACAGG
rnacentral:rRNA from 1 species